rnacentral:rRNA from 1 species
UACGGGGGGGGUAAGCGUUGUUCGGAAUUACUGGGCGUAAAGGGCUCGUAGGCGGCCAACUAAGUCGGAUGUGAAAUCCCCAGGCUUAACCUGGGAACUGCAUCCGAUACUGGAUGGCUUGAAUCCGGGAGAGGGAUGCAGAAUUCCAGGUGUAGCGGUGAAAUGCGUAGAUAUCUGGAGGAAUACCGGGGGCGAAGGCGGCAUCAUGGACCGGCAUUGACGCUGAUGAGCGAAAGCUAGGGGAGCAAACGGG